UUAUAGACCUUACUCUAUUGGUUAAAAGGAUGUCGAUGCAAAUCCAUCCUGUUCUUAUUUGCUCUGCAUAAAAAUCAGCUCGUUGCUCAGCUAAAGCUCAUAUCACCCAACUGAAUUCAAGAACUUCCAGCCAUCACAGAGUUUGAUUAUGGGGCUGAGCGUCAUUCAGCAGUGCAUUUUUAUCCUCAUGUUAACACAAGGUUUUUGCAGUGCUGAGAUCAGACUGGACCAGUCUCCUGCUGUGUUCAAGAGACCUGGAGAAACUGUGAAGAUUUCUUGUAAAAUAAGUGGAUAUUCGAUGACGAGCAGAAACAUACACUGGAUACGACAGAAACCAGGGAAAGCUCUGGAAUGGAUUGGGAGGAUGGAUACAGGCAGUAAUGAAGCAAUAUAUGCAGAGUCUGUGAAGAACCAGUUCACCAUGACAGAAAACGUCCCAGCAAGCACACAGUACUUAGAGGCCAAGAGUCUGAGGACAGAGGACACUGCGGUUUAUUACUGCGCCCGAAGAGCCACAGUGACUGGAGCUGAGGAAGCAGCUGUACAAAAACCAGACACAGACUGUAUCUGAACUAACUGAAGCUGCUUCAGCUGGAAUUGAUAGGAAAACAUUCUCUGUAUCUCUUUACUGCUCCAAAUAUCCACGUGUUUCUGGAUUUAAAACAAAUGUAGGAAGGGCCUGAACUAGAUUUUUUUUUCUUCAAAAUAUAUACAUAUAUCUAUAAACUUUGCCCCUGGAAACACUGGAAAAACUCCCAGAGGUAGAAAUGGCAUCAGUGUCAGCAUGGUGUGUUAAUUGUGGCUCUGAUGGUUCUUCACCCAACAAACUAAGUCAUCCCAGUCCCAAUCCACACCUCUAGUCUCAACCAGGUUUAGUGGAAGAUUCACAUGUCCACAAGAGACAAAACUUAUUCAGGAAGAUGACCUUAAAAAAAAAAAUCCCACAAAACAUAAAUCAACACUUUAAGCAGAUGCAAGAAUUCAACAGAACUGUGGUGUCAGUGCAUUUCAUCUUUCAGGAAGUUUCUUUAUUUUGCUCUUUCAAUGACAUUAAAGAAGCUUCAUCACAGAGAGUGAAGAACAAACUCCAUCAAAAAGACACGGUUAUAAAUUAUUUAAUUUCCCACUGAUACUGGAUCUGAGCGCUUUCUUUCUUUUAAACCGUGCUGAUACAAAUGCUCCAAUCUGGAAUUCAGACUUCCUUCAUUUGUAUCGCUGCUCCAUGGGAGACCUUUUUACUGACAGCAAGAACAUUUGAACCUUUUUUUUUUUUUUUAAAUCUCUCCUUCCAGUUCUGGAUAUUUUGACAACAGCACUUUUGUGCCUCUAGAGGGCAGUCUGUGCAAACUCCACCAUCUCAACCUGUUGCUCUCUGCACAUUCAGGCCAUUUUUAUGCCUCCACCACCGUAAGUUGCAGGAGGCAUUAUGUUUUCGGGUUGUCCGUGCGUCCGUCCCGAAACCUUGUGAACGCGAUAUCUCAAGGGCUGAUGAAAGGAAUUUCACCAAACUUUCAGCAUUUGUGUGCUUUAGGACAAAUAUGAACUGAUUUAGAUUUUGAGAUCAAAAGGUCGAAGGUCAAGGUCACUGUGAGGUCAAAUGUCUGUCCGAAAAUCUUGUGAACACACUAUCUCCAAGGCAGAUGAAAGGAAUUUCACCAAACUUUCACCAUUUGUGCAUCUGGGGACAAAGAUAAACUGAUUAGAUUUUGAGAUCAAAAGGUCUAAGGUCACGGUGAGGUCAAAUGUCUGUCUGAAAACCUUGUGAACACAAUAUCUCCGAGGCAAAUACAAGUACUUUCAUCAGGUCAAGAUUACUGUGAGGUCAAAUGUCCAUCCCCAAAUCACAACUUAAUAAGGCGUGUAGUCUACCAGGCGGAGGCAUCCCCAGUGAUGCCAUUGGCAUCGAGUUCUAUCUUUAAACAUAAACUGCUUACAAGGACAAUCCUCAAAAACUUCCACUGUCACUACUUCUGUCUGCAAAUAGUUACAUAAAACUUUAGCCCCUGCACCCGGUCACAUUUAUACAUGUAUUUGUAAUUAAAUGUGAUACAAACAUGCAAAUAA